UUUAUGAAGAGUUUGAUCCUGGCUCAGGAUGAACGCUGGCGGUGUGCCUAAGAUAUGCAAGUCGAACGCUCAUCGUUUAUUGAUUCCUUCGGGAUGAAAUAAACAUUAUGGUGAGAGUGGCAAACGGGUGAGUAACAGGUGGGAAUUUACCUUCUGGUGGGGAAUAACUAGUCGAAAGAUUAGCUAAUACCGCAUAGUCUCGCAAGAGUAAAGCUUUUGCGCCAGAAGACAAGCCCGCCUCCUAUCAGCUAGUUGGUAAGGUAAAAGCUUACCAAGGCUCCGACGGGUAGGGGGACUGAGAGGUUGACCCCCCACAAUGGCACUGAGACACGGGCCAUACACCUACGGGUGGCAGCAAUUAGGAAUCUUGCGCAAUGGACGAAAGUCUGACGCAGCGACGCCGCGUG
rnacentral:rRNA from 1 species